rnacentral:rRNA from 1 species
UAACACAUGCAAGUCGAGCGCAGUCCUUCGGGACCGAGCGGCGGACGGGUUAGUAACGCGUGGGAACAUACCCUUUUCUACGGAAUAGCCUCGGGAAACUGAGAGUAAUACCGUAUAAGCCCUUCGGGGGAAAGAUUUAUCGGGAAAGGAUUGGCCCGCGUUAGAUUAGAUAGUUGGUGGGGUAAUGGCCUACCAAGUCUACGAUCUAUAGCUGGUUUUAGAGGAUGAUCAGCAACACUGGGACUGAGACACGGCCCAGACUCCUACGGGAGGCAGCAGUGGGGAAUCUUAGACAAUGGGCGCAAGCCUGAUCUAGCCAUGCCGCGUGUGUGAUGAAGGUCUUAGGAUCGUAAAGCACUUUCGCCAGGGAUGAUAAUGACAGUACCUGGUAAAGAAACCCCGGCUAACUCCGUGCCAGCAGCCGCGGUAAUACGGAGGGGGUUAGCGUUGUUCGGAAUUACUGGGCGUAAAGCGUACGUAGGCGGAUCAGAAAGUAGGGGGUGAAAUCCCAGGGCUCAACCCUGGAACUGCCUCCUAAACUCCUGGUCUUGAGUUCGAGAGAGGUGAGUGGAAUUCCAAGUGUAGAGGUGAAAUUCGUAGAUAUUUGGAGGAACACCAGUGGCGAAGGCGGCUCACUGGCUCGAUACUGACGCUGAGGUACGAAAGUGUGGGGAGCAAACAGGAUUAGAUACCCUGGUAGUCCACACCGUAAACGAUGAAUGCCAGUCGUCGGGCAGUAUACUGUUCGGUGACACACCUAACGGAUUAAGCAUCCG